rnacentral:rRNA from 1 species
UCUACGUGCGUGCCAGCGGCGGGGGAAAGACGAAGGGGGGAAGCGUUAAUCGGAAUUACGGGGCGUGAUGGGGUCGUAGGCGGUUAGUGAAGUCUGCCGGGAAAUCCCCGGGCUCAACCUGGGAAUGGCGGUGGAUACUGGAUAGCUAGAGUGUGUCAGAGGAUGGUGGAAUUCCCGGUGUAGCGGUGAAAUGCGUAGAGAUCGGGAGGAACAUCAGUGGCGAAGGCGGCCAUCUGGGACAACACUGACGCUGAAGCACGAAAGCGUGGGGAGCAAACAGGAUUAGAUACCCUAGUAGUC